rnacentral:rRNA from 1 species
GUUGAACGCUGGCGGCAGGCCUAACACAUGCAAGUCGAGCGAGCGGCGGGCGGGGGAGUAAUGGCUGGGAAACUGCCUGUAGGCGGGGGAUCAGUACUGGAAACGGUAGCUAAUACCGCGUACAAUGCGCUUUGGCCAGGUGGGAAUGGCUAGUCGGUGGGGUAAUGGCCCACCUAGGCGACGAUCCCUAGCUGGUCUGAGAGGAGGAUCAGCCACACUGGAACUGAGACACGGUCCAGACUCCUACGGGAGGCAGCAGUGGGGAAUAUUGAGCAAUGGGCGCAAGCCUGAUGCAGCCAUGCCGCGUGUGUGAAGAAGGCUUUCGGGUUGUAAAGCACUGUUGGCAGAGAGGCGUUACCCGCAGAAGAAGCACCGGCUAACUCCGUGCCAGCAGCCGCGGUAAUAC